CUACGGGCGGCUGCAGUGGGGAAUAUUGGACAAUGGGGGAAACCCUGAUCCAGCAAUGCCGCGUGUGUGAAGAAGGCCUGCGGGUUGUAAAGCACUUUCGGUUGGGAGGGCUGCUUCUAGCACUAAUAUUGUUGGAAGUUGACGUUACCUUCAGAAGAAGCACCGGCUAACUCCGUGCCAGCAGCCGCGGUAAUACGGAGGAUGCAAGCGUUAAUCGGAAUUACUGGGCGUAAAGCGCGCGUAGGCGGCUAGAUCAGUCGGGUGUGAAAGCCCCGGGCUUAACCUGGGAACUGCAUCCGAUACUGUCUAGCUUGAGUACUGGAGAGGAGAGUGGAAUUCCACAUGUAGCGGUGAAAUGCGUAGAUAUGUGGAGGAACACCAAUGGCGAAGGCAGCUCUCUGGCCUGAUACUGACGCUGAGGUGCGAAAGCGUGGGGAGCAAACAGGAUUAGAUACCCCGGUAGUC
rnacentral:rRNA from 1 species